rnacentral:rRNA from 1 species
GAUGAACGCUGGCGGCGUGCCUAAUACAUGCAAGUCGAGCGAACAGACGAGGAGCUUGCUCCUCUGACGUUAGCGGCGGACGGGUGAGUAACACGUGGAUAACCUACCUAUAAGACUGGGAUAACUUCGGGAAACCGGAGCUAAUACCGGAUAAUAUAUUGAACCGCAUGGUUCAAUAGUGAAAGACGGUUUUGCUGUCACUUAUAGAUGGAUCCGCGCCGCAUUAGCUAGUUGGUAAGGUAACGGCUUACCAAGGCAACGAUGCGUAGCCGACCUGAGAGGGUGAGCGGCCACACUGGAACUGAGACACGGUCCCGACUCCUACGGGAGGCAGCAGUAGGGAAUCUUCCGCAAUGGGCGAAAGCCUGACGGAGCAACGCCGCGUGAGUGAUGAAGGUCUUCGGAUCGUAAAACUCUGUUAUUAGGGAAGAACAAAUGUGUAAGUAACUAUGCACGUCUUGACGGUACCUAAUCAGAAAGCCACGGCUAACUACGUG